rnacentral:rRNA from 1 species
UUCGUCCAAGUGAAGUAGAGGACAGUGGCGGACGGGUGAGUAACGCGUGAGGAACCUGCCUUUCAGAGGGGGACAACAGUUGGAAACGACUGCUAAUACCGCAUGACACAUAGAGAUCGCAUGGUUUUAUGUCAAAGAUUUAUCGCUGAAAGAUGGCCUCGCGUCUGAUUAGCUAGUUGGUGAGGUAACGGCCCACCAAGGCGACGAUGGGUAGCCGACCUGAGAGGGUGAUCGGCCACACUGGGACUGAGAUACGGCCCAGACUCC